GUAGCCAUGGCAUGUCCUACCCCAUAGCUGGGAAUGUGAAGACCUACAAAGCUAAAGAGUACAAUGUGGACCAUCCUGUUGUGCCUCAUGGUCUGUCGGUGGUGGUGACGUCUCCAGCUGUGUUCUCCUUCACCGCCAGCAUGUGUCCAGAGCGCCACCUAGAGGCAGCUGAAAUACUGGGGGCUGAUGUCAGUAAUGUGAAGAGGGCUGAUGCUGGCCUCGUCUUGGCUGAUACACUCAGGAGCUUCCUCUACGACCUGCAGGUA